UACGUAGGGUGCAAGCGUUGUCCGGAAUUAUUGGGCGUAAAGAGCUCGUAGGCGGUGUGUCGCGUCGGCUGUGAAAACCUGCAGCUUAACUGUGGGCUUGCGGUCGAUACGGGCAUCACUGGAGUUCGGCAGGGGAGACUGGAAUUCCUGGUGUAGCGGUGAAAUGCGCAGAUAUCAGGAGGAACACCGGUGGCGAAGGCGGGGUCUCUGGGACGGUACUGACGCUGGAGACGCGAAAGCGUGGGGAGGCGAACAGGA
rnacentral:rRNA from 1 species